rnacentral:snRNA from 11 species
GAGUGUGAGGGUGAUUUGGCUGCAACAUCUGUCACCCCAUUGGUCACCAGGAUUGAUUCGGCUGAUCUUGCUGGCUAGGUGGGUUUCCCCUUUCUACUUAACUGUUCCAUGUGCGUCCCUCCCAAAGCUGCAGACUCAGUGGAAGAGGAUGAUGUCCCAGGAAAAAAGGAGUGUACCGAGGUCCCCAUUUUUUGAUUCUGGGUAUACAAUACGAGGGUUGAAUGAAAAGUAAUGCCUCCACCUUCGUAACUCCUCAACAGAUGGCAGUACUGGUAUGCGGCAUGU